CAGGAAUGGUUCUAGGCUGCACCACUGGAGCAUGCUUGUCCGUUGUUUAGUGUUAAGUUACAGUCUAUGCAGCUAAAUUGCUAAAGACGGUGUCCGUGUCUUAUUUUUGAAAUGAAUAUAUUGAGUUGACGGUAGUUACGACCCCUAGAUUAAUUUUCGCCCACCUUUGGAGCGAAGAAAAACAUCUCAGCUAUAGCGGUCCAUGAUCGGCAAUGUA